rnacentral:rRNA from 1 species
UUUCUCCUACGGGAGGCAGCAGUGGGGGAUAUUGCACAAUGGGGGGAAACCCUGAUGCAGCGACGCCGCGUGAGUGAAGAAGUAUUUCGGUAUGUAAAGCUCUAUCAACAGGCAAGAAAAAAGACGGUACCUGACUAAGAAGCCCCGGCUAACUACGUGCCAGCAGCCGCGGUAAUACGUAGGGGGCAAGCGUUAUCCGGAUUUACUGGGUGUAAAGGGAGCGUAGACGGCAAUACAAGUCGGAAGUGAAAUACCCGGGCUCAACCUGGGAACUGCUUUGGAAACUGUAUGGCUGGAGUGCUGGG